GCGAAAACUUUACAAUGCUGGGAACAGCGAUAAGGGAACCUCGAGUGCCAGGUUACAAAUUUGGCUGUCGUGAUGCCUAAAAAGCAUUAUAUAGCAAGGGCCGGGCAAGACCGGUGCCAGCCGCCGCGGUAACACCGGCGGCUCGAGUGGUAACCGUUAUUAUUGGGUCUAAAGGGUCUGUAGCCGGCCGGAUAAGUCUCUUGGGAAAUCUGGCAGCUCAACUGUCAGGCUUUCAGGGGAUACUGUCUGGCUCGAGGCCGGGAGAGGUGAGAGGUACUUCAGGGGUAGGGGUGAAAUCUUGUAAUCCUUGAAGGACCCCCAGUGGCGAAGGCGUCUC
rnacentral:rRNA from 1 species